AGAGUUUGAUCCUGGCUCAGGACGAACGCUGGCGGCGUGCUUAAUACAUGCAAGUCGAGCGAGGUUACUGUUUUGGAUCCCUUCGGGGUGAAGAAGCUUUAACCUAGCGGCGGACGGGUGAGUAACGCGUGGGUAACCUACCCCAAAGUCCGGGAUAACAGCGGGAAACCGCUGCUAAUACCGGAUGUCUUUACCUUGGGGCAUCUUGAGGUAAAGAAAGGUAACGCUUUGGGAUGGGCCCGCGUCCCAUUAGCUAGUUGGUGAGGUAACGGCUCACCAAGGCGACGAUGGGUAGCCGGCCUGAGAGGGUGGACGGCCACACUGGGACUGAGACACGGCCCAGACUCCUACGGGAGGCAGCAGUAGGGAAUAUUGCGCAAUGGACGGAAGUCUGACGCAGCGACGCCGCGUGAGCGAUGAANGUCUUCGGAUCGUAAAGCUCUGUCCUUGGGGAAGAAGGCNAAAGCUUGACGGUACCCAAGAAGAAAGCCCCGGCUAACUACGUGCCAGCAGCCGCGGUNAUACGUAGGGGGCGAGCGUUGUCCGGAAUUACUGGGCGUAAAGGGUGCGUAGGCGGCCCUUUAAGUCGGAUGUGAAAGCCCGCGGCUUAACCGCGGAAUGGCAUUCGAAACUGGAGGGCUUGAGUGUCGGAGAGGGUAGUGGAAUUCCCAGUGUAGCGGUGAAAUGCGUAGAUAUUGGGAGGAACACCAGUGGCGAAGGCGACUACCUGGACGAUAACUGACGCUGAGGCACGAAAGCUAGGGGAGCAAACAGGAUUAGAUACCCUGGUAGUCCUAGCCGUAAGCGAUGGGUACUAGGUGUGGGUGGUUUCGAUACCAUCCGUGCCGUAGUUAACGCAUUAAGUACCCCGCCUGGGGAGUACGUGCGCAAGCAUGAAACUCAAAUGAAUUGACGG
rnacentral:rRNA from 1 species